GGUAACACAACAUUACUAUCACUGCUUCUCAAAGAGGAGGCACUACUCAUAUGAAGUUGCAUGAUGGGAAAUAACACCUCCCACAUAAAGAGUAAAAAAACAAAGUCUGAGAAGUUCCCAGACCAGAAAAGGGAUAAAGAGAGAGGGCAACUCCUAAUUUACUUGAAAAAAGACAAAGCAACUAUCAAGGUAGUGCUGCAACCUCCUCUUGGAAACUUCUCUUAUGGCUCAAAAGUUCUACAUGUGUUCACUCUCCCUCUGGGAAGUAGGGCAAAUAUUUAUGGCAGACAAAAGCCGAGGGGCUACCAUGAAGACAAUUCUAGGCCCUCCUUGCCAUUUCCAUCUGCAGCACGACGAGGAGCAGGAGAUGCAGAACUGCCAAGGGAGCAAAAGAGCCUAAGGUUGUUUUUCCUGGUUGAGCCGGAGAAGCCAGCUGAUGGAGACUCCCCAGUUGUCAAAAAUAAAAUCAACAAGUGGUCCAACAUUUGUCCAAUAAGAAUGCAAGGAUACACUGACCUGUGAUCAGCUGAUUGCUGCAACCUCCUAAAUCAAGCACGGGAGUCAAAAAGCUCCAGGAGGGAAUAAACAAAUUCAAGCAUCUCAGAAAGCUG